UACGGAGGGUGCAAGCGUUAUCCGGAUUUGCUGGGUUUAAAGGGUGCGUAGGCGGACUAUUAAGUCAAAUGUGAAAGCUUGCAGCUUAACUGUAAGAUUGCGUUUGAUACUGGUAGUCUUGAAUAUGGUGGAAGUUGGCGGAAUAAAUCAUGUAGCGGUGAAAUGCUUAGAUAUGAUUUAGAACACCGAUUGCGAAGGCAGCUAGCUAUGUCAUAAUUGACGCUGAGGCACGAAAGCGUGGGGAUCAAACAGG
rnacentral:rRNA from 1 species